GAUGAACGCUGGCGGCGUGCCUAAUACAUGCAAGUCGAGCGAACGGACGAGAAGCUUGCUUCUCUGAUGUUAGCGGCGGACGGGUGAGUAACACGUGGAUAACCUACCUAUAAGACUGGGAUAACUUCGGGAAACCGGAGCUAAUACCGGAUAAUAUUUUGAACCGCAUGGUUCAAAGGUGAAAGACGGUCUUGCUGUCACUUAUAGAUGGAUCCGCGCUGCAUUAGCUAGUUGGUAAGGUAACGGCUUACCAAGGCAACGAUGCAUAGCCGACCUGAGAGGGUGAUCGGCCACACUGGAGCUGAGACACGGUCCAGACUCCUACGGGAGGCAGCAGUAGGGAAUCUUCCGCCAUGGGCGAAAGCCUGACGGAGCAACGCCGCGUGAGUGAUGAAGGUCUUCGGCUCGUAAAACUCUGUUAUUAGGGAAGAACAUAUGUGUAAGUAACUGUGCACAUCUUGACGGUACCUAAUCAGAAAGCCACGGCUAACUACGU
rnacentral:rRNA from 1 species